GAUUUCUGACAGACCGUUGCGGCCCGUGCUCGUUUCGGGCGUGUGUGCCGUGUCGUGUUUGUCAUCCUUCCAGAGAGCUGCGUCUACCAUUUACUUGGCCGGACGUACGCGAUCUGGAUCGAUUACUUUGAAAAAAUUAGAGUGUUUAAAGCAGGCUUUCGCUAUGAAUACAUUAGCAUGGAAUAAUAAUUUAGGACUUUGGCCCUAUUUUGUUGGUUUCUAGGACUGAAGUAAUGAUUGAUAGGGAUAGUUGGGGGUGCUCGAAUUCAGCGGCCAGAGGUGAAAUUCUUGGAUUCGCUGAAGACGAACUCAUGCGAAAGCAUU
rnacentral:rRNA from 1 species